UACAGAGGUCUCAAGCGUUGUUCGGAUUCAUUGGGCGUAAAGGGUGCGUAGGUGGCGCCGUAAGUCGGGUGUGAAAUUUCGGAGCUUAACUCCGAAACUGCAUUCGAUACUGCGGUGCUCGAGGACUGGAGAGGAGACUGGAAUUCAUGGUGUAGCAGUGAAAUGCGUAGAGAUCAUGAGGAAGACCAGUGGCGAAGGCGGGUCUCUGGACAGUACCUGACACUGAGGCACGAAGGCCAGGGGAGCAAACAGG
rnacentral:rRNA from 1 species